rnacentral:rRNA from 1 species
CCUGAGAAACCCAAAAGAUCGAAUGGGGAGAUUCAUCGUCAGCUCAUUUUGUAUAUGUAUAAGUUACGAUGCGGGUUACUACUUGUAGUAUUGCCUGCACGUUCUUGUAUAUUUAGUUGCAAGAUGUUGUCGGCGUGCACUUCUUCCCUAGUAGGACGUCGCGACCCGUUGGAUGUCGGUCUACGGCCCAAGUGAUAGCCUUUAAUGUAAUUUAAAAAUCAUUGAAGAUCCUUGGUGUUUUCUGACCGGCUAUUCGGCGGUACUCGUACGGUAUUUAGCCGCUAAUUUAUUAGCGUCCAUGUCCGUCACAAGCGAGGCCAAUUUACUGAUAGUGCGGACCUAGUGCCGUCGUUGGUAUUGGCCAGCUGUUGGUUGUACGUGAUUCUGGGACUGGCUAAAAUUAAUUACCGGUCGGCGAUGCUACUGCUUUGGGUACUUUCAG